UCUAAAAACAUCUUUCAUUUUGAGUUUUUCUAUUCAAGAAAUGGAUGAUUGGGAUGAUCCCCACAUCUAUAUACACAGACAAUCAAACACCAUCAUUAUGAUAUUUCCUCUCAAAAUUAAAAUUGGAUGCCGUUUCAAAAAGUCAAUUGGUUUCUACAAAAGAAAAUAACACUUAAGAUCCCCUCAGGAGAAUUCGGAAAAGGUUGGUUAGUCAGCAACGAAAUUCCUUGAGGUUUUCGUUGCGUAAAGCAACCGAAGCAGUCAUAAGGCAACCUGCCGAGAUAAGGUUCAGAUGAUCCACUAGCGCCUUGGGGUUUCUGUAAUAAAAUUGGUGCAUUUACAUGACUGAUUGAUUUAGAAAAAGCCAUAUUAGUGUGCAGUGUGGUUGUGCAUGUUUUUGCAUCUUCAAGUACACAUCCAAGUUACACUUCCUUUCUCAAAGUAAAAGUAAUCUUAGAGGUUGAUCUCUGGAAUUAUCAUAUUCUAAGAAUUCCUAUUAAUAAUAUCGAUUGGAUCUGAAUGUA